GAUGAAGAACGUAGCGAAAUGCGAUACGUAGUGUGAAUUGCAGAAUUCAGUGAAUCAUCGAAUCUUUGAACGCACAUUGCACCUCUCGGUAUUCCGGGAGGUAUGCCUGUUCGAGCGUCAUUUGAACCCUCAAGCUCUGCUUGGUGUUGGGUGUUUGUUCCGCCUCUGUGUGUGAACUCGCCUCAAAACAAUUGGCAGCCGGCGUACUUGUUUCGGAGCGCAGCACAUUUUGCGAUCCAGAUCAACGUACAGCGGCAUCCAAGAAGCCUUAUUUAACGCUCUUGACCUCGGAUCAGGUAGGGAUACCCGCUGAACUUAAGCAUAUCAAUAAGCGGAGGA
rnacentral:misc_RNA from 1 species